CCUGGAGUUGUAGGCUUUGCCUGCUAUCUCUUACCCAUGUCUUUUAAGUACCUUCGUUUCCUCAGCAGGUUCGCCCGCCAAUUGGACAAUUUAAACUAUUUGCAGUUGCAAUCAGCGUCUAAAAAAACUUAAUAGUUA
rnacentral:misc_RNA from 1 species